rnacentral:rRNA from 1 species
AGUGAACGCUGGCGGCAGGCCUAAUACAUGCAAGUCGAACGGCAGCACAGCAGAGCUUGCUCUGUGGGUGGCGAGUGGCGGACGGGUGAGGAAUACAUGGGAAUCUGCCCAGUCGUGGGGAUAACGUAGGGAAACUUACGCUAAUACCGCAUGCGCCCUUCGGGGGAAAGCCGGGGACCUUCGGGCCUGGCGCGAUUGGAUGAGCCCAUGUCGGAUUAGCUAGUUGGCGGGGUAAUGGCCCACCAAGGCGACGAUCCGUAGCUGGUCUGAGAGGAUGAUCAGCCACACUGGAACUGAGACACGGUCCAGACUCCUACGGGAGGCAGCAGUAGGGAAUAUUGGACAAUGGGCGCAAGCCUGAUCCAGCCAUGCCGCGUGAGUGAAGAAGGCCCUCGGGUUGUAAAGCUCUUUUGUCCGGAAAGAAAAGCGCCGGGUUAAUACCCUGGUGUCCUGACGGUACCGAAGAAUAAGCACCGGCUAACUUCGUGCCAGCAGCCGCGGUAA